CGUCUAGGCGGUGUCUUAAGUUGGGCGUGAAAUCUCCCGGCUUAACUGGGAGGCUGCGUUCAAUACUGGGACACUUGAGGGCAGGAGAGGAAAGUGGAAUUCCCGGUGUAGUGGUGGAAUACUUAGAUAUCGGGAGGAACACCAGUGGCGAAGGCGGCUUUCUGGCCUGUACCUGACGCUGAAGCGCGAAAGCGUGGGUAGCGAACG
rnacentral:rRNA from 1 species